rnacentral:tRNA from 1 species
AGUGCUGCGCCGGAUGAACGGAAAUCAUUGAUGUUGAUUAAUAUGGGACAAAGUGUCUUCAGUACUA